rnacentral:rRNA from 1 species
CACCGCGGUUAAACGCUGAAGCCCAAGCAGAUGAGCUCACGGCGUAAAGUGUGGCCAAGGAAACUAUUUAAACUAAAGCCAAAUGCCCCUCAAUGCUGUAAUACGUAAGUGAGGCAAAGAAGCACAAUCACGAAAGUAACUUUAUUUUUCCCACCCACUAAAGCUUGGACA